AUUGGCUGAAGGUUCGCUAUUUAUUAUCAAACUUUUAAUAGAACGCUUAUAUUACCUAAAGAUAAAAAUAUUCGACCAAUAUUUGUAUUGCUCCCACCAAAUGAAAAAAUUAAAAACCUCAAAAUGGCUUUUACGGGAUACUGAUAAGAAGGGCACGAAAGCACGUCGAUACGAGGCAUAAAAUAAUUAUCUCAUUAUAAAGCCGCAAAAGAGGGAGCGUGUGAAACAUGGAAGUGGUAAUCAUCACUUGACGAAAGCCUACAGCCAAAACAGAAUGACAAACAGCAAAAACAAAAAAAAAAAAAAAACAGUCAAUUGAAUAGCGCACGGGACAAAUGGAAAAUUUUACAGAGAUGCAUUCGACGGACAGACGGAUGUGCGGUAGCAGGAGAGGGGGAGAGACGGAGGGUACGCACGUACGCACUCACGGUCGCUGGCCUAUGUAAAGCAAGAGAAGACGGAAAGAAGAGAAAAAUGAGAGCGCAGCCCCCACAAAUGCAUACGUGCCAUAUAGCACAGAAAUAACAACAACAUCAACAAGAAAUGUGCAGACAACGAUGACGUAGUGAAAGUCAGUCUGCGUGUUUUGUUUUUGUAUUUUUUCUCUUGAUGUAACGAAACACCUGCGUUUUGUUAUUGUUGCUAUGCUAAAUGAAAAUAAAUGUGUACUAUAGAUGUAAAUAAACAAUAUGGCGACUCACCUUGCUCCAGCAAAUUAAGUUAUUCGUAUCCGGAUCAUCCACCAGACGCCAGAGCUUAGCCAAAAACGCUGGCACUCCGCUGCCGGCGCCCGUUUCACCAACUGUAUGCAUUGUGCGACGUGAUCGCUGCUUCUGCUGCUGCUCGAGAUCCUCGUCGUCCUCCUCUUCGUCAGUUGAUUCGUGCUUUAGCUGCACGGCCUUUAAAGUUGCUCGCUUCUUGGACAUAUAAAGCGACGUUAACAACUACAAUAUGUGUGAAAAUUGCAAGGUGAAAAAGAUAA